rnacentral:rRNA from 1 species
CGGGUGAGUAACGCGUGGGCAACCUGCCUUACACAGGGGGAUAACGACUUAGAAAUAGGUGCUAAUACCGCAUAAGCGCACAGCUUUGCAUGAAGCAGUGUGAAAAACUCCGGUGGUGUAAGAUGGACCCGCGUCUGAUUAGCUGGUUGGCAGGGGUAAAGGCCUACCAAGGCGACGAUCAGUAGCCGGCCUGAGAGGGUGAACCGGCCACAUUGGGACUGAGCACGGCCAGACUCCUACGGGAGGCAGCAG